UGGUUGGAACUGUGUUUCAGGCAGCCGC
rnacentral:piRNA from 1 species